rnacentral:rRNA from 1 species
GGCGAUCCUGGCGCAGAUUGAACGCUGGCGGGAUGCUUUACACAUGCAAGUCGAACGGCAGCACGGACUUCAGUCUGGUGGCGAGUGGCGAACAGGUGAUAAUGUAUCGGAACGUGCCUAGUAGCGGGGGAUAUUACGCGGCGUAGCUAAUACCGCAUACGCCCUUCGAGGAGAAAGCGGGGGACCUUCGGGCCUCGCACUAUUAGAGCGGCCGAUAUCGGAUUAGCUAGUUGGUGGGGGUAACGGCUCACCGAGGGCGACGAUCCGUAGCUGGUUUGAGAGGACGACCAGCCACUGGGACUGGAACACGGCCCAGACUCUACGGGAGGCAGCAGUGGGGAAUUUUGGACAAUGGGGAAACCCUGAUCCAGCCGCGUGUGCGAUGAAGGCCUUCGGGUUGUAAAGCACUUUUGGCGGAAGAAACGGCACGGGAUAAUACCCGAUGCAUGACGACACCUGCAGAAUAAAGCACCGGCUAACUACGUGCUGGCAACCGCGGUAAUGCCGUAGGAGUGCAAGCGUUAAUCGGAAUUACUGGGCGUAAAGCGUGCGCAGGCGGUUCGGAAGAAAGAUGUGAAAUCCCAGAGCUUAACUUUGGAACACAUUUUUAACUACGAGCCAGAGUGUGUCAGAGGGAGGUGGAAUUCCACGCGUGUAGCAGUGAAAUGCGUAGAUAUGCGGAGAGAACACCGAUAGCAGAGCAGCCUCCUGGGAUAACACUGACGCCAUGCACGAAAGCGUGGGGAGCAAACAGGAUUAGAUACCCUGGUAGUCCACGCCUAAACGAUGUCAACUAGCUGUUGGGGCCUUCGGGCCUUGGUAGCGCAGCUAACGCGUGAAGUUGACCGCCUGGGGGAGUACGGUGCAAGAUUAAAACUCAAAAUUGACGAGGACCCGCGCUAAGCGGUGGAUGAUGUGGAUUAAUUCGAUGCAACGCGAAAAACCUUACCUACCCUCGACAUGUCUGGAAUCCCGAAGAGAUUUGGGGAGUGCUCGCAAGAGGGCGGAACACAGGUGCUGCAUGGCUAAUGCGUCCAGCUCGUGUCGUGAGAUGUUGGGUUAAGUCCCGCAACGAGCGCAACCCUUGUCAUUAGUUGCUACGAAAGGGCACUCUAAUGAGACUGCCGGUGACAAACCGGAGGAAGGUGGGGAUGACGUCAAGUCCUCAUGGCCCUUAUGGGUAGGGCUUCACACGUCAUACAAUGGUCAGGUGAGAGGGUCGCCAACCCGCGAGGGGAGCCAAUCCCAGAAACCCGAUCGUAGUCCGGAUCGCAGUCUGCAACUCGACGUGAAGUCAGAAUCGCUAGUAAUCGCGGAUCAGCAUGUCGCGGUGAAUACGUUCCCGGGUCUUGUACACACCGCCCGUCACACCAUGGGAGUGGGUUUUACCAGAAGUAGUUAGCCUAACCGUAAGGAGGUUACCACAGUAGGAUUCAUGACUGGGGUGAAGUCGUAACAAGGUAG